AGAGACUGCAAGCGUUAUUCGGAUUCACUGGGCGUAAAGGGUGCGCAGGCGGCCAAGUGUGUGAGGCGUGAAAGCCUGGAGCUUAACUCCAGAAUUGCACCUCAAACUACUUGGCUAGAGCAUUGGAGAGGGUAGCAGAAUUCAUGGUGUAGCAGUGAAAUGCGUAGAUAUCAUGAGGAAUACCAGAGGCGAAGGCGGCUACCUGGACAAUUGCUGACGCUCAGGCACGAAAGCGUGGGGAGCAAAAGGGAUUAGAUACCCCUGUAGUCCACGCCCUAAACGGUGCACACUAGGUCUUGGCGGAUUCGACCCCCCCAGGGCCCAAGCUAACGCGUUAAGUGUGCCGCCUGAGGACUACGGCCGCAAGG
rnacentral:rRNA from 1 species